rnacentral:pre_miRNA from 1 species
GGUAACGCGAGAUAUUAGUGCGGUUCAAUCAAAUAGUCGGCCUCUUAACUCACGGAGAUCGGUGUUGUUCGAUUGAGCCGUGCCAAUAUCACGCGGUAAACC